GUGCUCGCUUUGGCAGCACAUACACUAAAAUUGGAAUGAUAUAGAGAUUAGCAUGGCCCCUGCACAAGGAUGACAUGCCAAUUCAUGAAACAGUCCAUAUUUUU